AGAGUUUGAUCCUGGCUCAGAACGAACGCUGGCGGCACGCCUAACACAUGCAAGUCGAGCGCUACCUUCGGGUGGAGCGGCGGACGGGUUAGUAACGCGUGGGAACAUACCCUUUUCUGCGGAAUAGCCUUUGGAAACGAAGAGUAAUACCGCAUACGCCCUUCGGGGGAAAGAUUUAUCGGUGAAGGAUUGGCCCGCGUUAGAUUAGAUAGUUGGUGGGGUAACGGCCUACCAAGUCUACGAUCUAUAGCUGGUUUGAGAGGAUGAUCAGCAACACUGGGACUGAGACACGGCCCAGACUCCUACGGGAGGCAGCAGUGGGGAAUCUUAGACAAUGGGCGCAAGCCUGAUCUAGCGAUGCCGCGUGAGUGACGAAGGUCUUAGGAUCGUAAAGCUCUUUCGCCAGGGAUGAUAAUGACAGUACCUGGUAAAGAAACCCCGGCUAACUCCGUGCCAGCAGCCGCGGUAAU
rnacentral:rRNA from 1 species